GAGGGUACAGCUCAGUGGCAGAGUGCAUGCCCAGCAUGUGUAAGGUCCUGGGUUCAAUUCACAGUACCUCCA
rnacentral:tRNA from 1 species